CUUACUUUGGUUUUCGUCAAUCUUAUUGAGAGGAUGUGGAUAAGGAAUACGUAACCCACAGCAUUGCCGUGAGAUGACGUAACUCCAGCGCUGAGCUUAGGCCACUGCCUGGCCUGUUGAAGUGUUCACCCAGCCUUAGCUUGCAGGAUGCCUACAAAAAGACUAAUUUCCCAGUAAUCCAACUUAUUCCAAACACUCCACCCACAAGGCAGCAAGUGAGGGAAAAAAUAGAAUUCUGCUUGAAGAUGCUUUUCAGUCAACUCUCUCUAGCUCAUAAACCAGCGCUUCUCCAAGAGUGUUAUGAACCCUGCACCCUCCUUGUCAAUGCUGAUUUCUGCACCCAUCUCCCAGUUACCAUCUGGAAUAGAAUCCAGUAG
rnacentral:lncRNA from 1 species